UCAAAUCCAUGAAGUGCGAAGGAAGCCAGAGCGACGUCCCGGAGCGAGGUGGCGAACCCGCUGUGAAGCUGGAGCGACCCACCAAAGCGGGGUCAUGAACCCGCGCGCAAGAUUUAUAUUUGGUCGAUUUUAUAUGUUUUGCUGGACCUUCUCAGACUUGUUUUUGAGGUCCACUAGGUUUUUAGGAGUCCUAUAAAUACUCUGUAAACCUAAAAUUAGGAAUUAUCUUGUUUUUCUAUCUAAUCAAAAGCCACUUUUGGGUGAAAUAUCUAAUCUUGAUCAUAUUCUUUUGUGUUUACUUGAUUGCUUUGAUCAUUAAUCAUGUUUAAACUU
rnacentral:lncRNA from 1 species